ensembl:lncRNA
GGGGGGAUGGUUCCCAGGAUGAGAGUUGACAGGAAGUCCCUGUGGGGUCAAACCGCAGGCCUAUGGCCUAGCCACUGUCCUGGCUUUGUCAUCUGCUGCCAGUGGGGAUGGUGGCCACGGAUGGGCGGGGGGGGGGGGGCAGGAAAUUUGAGGGGAUGCUUUGAUAUGUUUCUGUAUAAAUAAUGCUUACUUGUAAUACAAAUCAAUCACAUGGGGGGAGAGAGAGAGGUGCCCGGGAAUCCCUUCCCUCUCUCCCUUCCUCCCUCCCUCCCUUCCUUCCUCCCUUCCUUCCUUCCUCCCUCCCUCCCUUCCUUCCUUCCUUCCUCCUUCUUCCUUCCCUCCUCCUUUCUUCCUCCCUUCCUCCCUUCCUCCUCUCCUUCCUUCCCCCCUUCAUUCCUCCCUCCCUCCCUCUCUCCCUCUCUCCCUUCCCUCCUUCUUUCUUUCCUUCCUUCUUUCCUCCCUCCCUCCCUCCCUCCCUCCCUUGCUCUCUCCCUCCUCCCUCCCUCCUUCCUUCCUUCCUCCCUUCCUUCCUUCCUUCCUUCCUUCCUUCUUUCCUUCCUUCUUCCUUCCUCCUUUCCUUCCUCCCUUCCUCCCUCCCUUCCUCCUUUCCUUCCUUCCUUCCUUCCUUCCUUCCUUCCUUCCUUCCUUCUUCCUUCCUUCCCCUUCAUUCCUCCCUCCCUCCCUCUCUCCCUCUCUCCCUUCCCUCCUUCUUUCUUUCCUUCCUUCUUUCCUCCCUCCCUCCCUCCCUCCCUCCCUUGCUCUCUCCCUCCCUCCCUCCCUCCCUUUCCUUUCCUCCCUUCCUUCCUUCCUUCCUUCCUUCCUCCUCCCUCCCUCCUUCCUUCCUUCCCCCCCUUCCUUCCUUCCUUCCUUCCUCCCUUCCUUCCCCUUCCUCCUUUCCUUCCUCCCUCCUCCCUCUCUCCCUCUCUCCCUUCCUCCUUCCUCCUUUCCUUCCUCCUUCCUCCCUUCCUCAUCUCCUUCCUUCCCCUUCAUUCCUCCUUCCUCCCUCCCUCUCUCCCUUCCUCCUUCUUUCUUUCCUUCCUUCUUUCCUCCCUCCCUCCCUCCCGUCCCUCCUCCCUCCUCCCUUGCUCUCUUCCCUCCCUCCUCCUCCUUCCUCCUCCCCUUCCUUCCUUCCUUCCUUCCUUCCUUCCUUCCUCCUUUCCUUCCUCCCUUCCUUCCUUCUUUCCUCCUCCCCUUCCUUCCUUCCUUCUUUCCUCCUCCCCUUCCUCCCUUCCUCAUCUCCUUCCUUCCCCUUCCUCCUUCCUCCUCCCUCCCUCCUCCUUUCCUUCCUUCCUCCUUCCUUCUUCCUUCCUUCUUUCCCCCUCCUCCCCCCUCCUCCCUCCCUCCCUCCCUUGCUCUCUCCCUCCCUCCCUCCCUCCCUUCCUUCCUCCCUUCCUUCCUUCCUUCCUUCCUUCCUUCCUUCCUUCCUUCCCUCCUUUCCUUCCCCCCCUUCCUCCUUUCCUUCCUCCCUUCCUCCCUUCCUCCUUCCUUCUCCUUCCUCCCUUCCUCAUCUCCUUCCUUCCCCCCUUCAUUCCUCCCUCCCUCCCUCUCUCCCUCUCUCCCUUCCCUCCUUCUUUCUUUCCUUCCUUCUUUCCUCCCUCCCUCCUUCUUCCUUCCUUCCUUCCUUCCUUCCUACCUUCCUUCCUUCUUCUUUCCUUCCUUCCUUCUUUCCUCCUUCCUCCCUUCCUUCUUCCUUCCUUCCUCCUUUCCUUCCUCCCUUCCUCCUUCCUUCUCCUUCCUCCUUUCCUUCCUUCCCCCUUCAUUCCUCCCUCCCUCCCUCUCUCCCUCUCUCCCUCCCUCCUUCUUUCUCUUUCCUUCCUUCUUCCCUCCCCCUCCCUCCCUCCC